GACGAACGCUGGCGGCGUGCCUAAUACAUGCAAGUUGAACGAUGAAGCUUGGUGCUUGCACCGAUUUGAAGAGCAGCGAACGGGUGAGUAACGCGUGUGGCAUCUGCCUGUCAGCGGGGGACAACAUGUGGAGACGAAUGCUAAUACCGCAUAACAACUUUAAACAUAAGUUGGAAGUUUGAAAGAUGCAGUUGCAUCACUCACAGAUGAUCCCGCGUUGUAUUAGCUAGUUGGUGCGGUAAAGGCGCACCGAGGCGAUGAUACAUAGCCGCACUGAGAGGGUGGUCGGCCACACUGGGAGGGUGACACGCCCCAAAGUGACUCGGGAGGGAGCAGUAGGGCAACUUCGGCAAUGGGUGAAAGACUGAGCGCGAUACGCGGCGGGCGGGAAGAACGUUGUCGGGUGGUAAAACUCGGUUGUUGGAGAAGAAAGUUGGUGAGCGUGGAACGCUGCUCAAGUGACGGUAACUACUAAGAAAGGGACGGCUAACUACGUG
rnacentral:rRNA from 1 species